rnacentral:lncRNA from 1 species
GUUCGUUUACAAAUAAUAGCAAAAUAUAUACAUUUUCUUUUAUAUUUCCACAAUUUACAUUCUGUUAAUGUUCUCCAUCACACAAAAAGCAGUGUUUUUUGAAUUGCAAGUGUUUUCAUCAAAUCAGAUGAAGUGUAAUUUUGAUAUUCAUCAUGAUAUUCUCAUAACUAUGUUUUUUCCAACAGAUCUGUGAACAUGAUUUGGUCUCCUCAGUUGUACCAAGCUUCGACAAAUGUGCCAGGUGUGGUGGACCUUAUGCUGCGAUCAAGUGGACUGGUAUUAGAUGUAAACGUGAGUAGUUUUGUUGAAUAAAUGAUGCAUUCAUGCAUGAUGUACCAAUAUUAAUUCAUAAUUAUUACAGUAUUUUUUUAUUCAGUCUGCAUAAUAUAUCACAUUUAGUGUUUGUUGACAAAGGUUUUCGGUUCACCAAUUUCCACUAAUUCAGUUACAUAGACAUAAAAGUACAUUGAACAUUUUCCAUUCAAAGCAGUUUUCUACAAAUCAAAGAUUUACACACUCAGCUAAAGCAGCUAUGUGUAAGACUAGGGUACCAAAGGUAGCAUCUGAAGACUUAGGAAAGACACCAUCACCCCAAGUCUAUGGAGAACUUUGUAAAGCAGCCCUUGCAAAAAUCAUACUCUUCAACCGAAGACGUGGAGGAGAAGUUGCAAAAAUGAGACUCAAAGGCUUCCUCGAAAGGGACACAACUGCCUUGCAUAAGGAUGUUGCCAGCGGCCUUACAAAAUUCGAACAAAAACUUUGUAACCACUUCAGUUGCGUGGAAAUUAGGGGUAAAAGAGGGCGCAAAGUUGCUGUGCUGCUGUCACCAGACAUGGUUGAUGCCUUAACACAUCUUAUCAGCAAAAGAACAGAGUGUGGAGUCCCAGAAGAGAAUGAAUUCCUGUUUGCAAGACCCCAUUGUUUGUCUUCUUAUAGAGGACAGGACUGUUUGAGGAUUUAUGCAAAUGAGUGUGGCGCUCAGAACCCUGAACUCCUCAGGUCAAGUCACUUGUGCAAGCAUGUUGCAACUUUGUCACAAAUCCUGAACCUCAAAAAUCAUGAGUUGGAUCAAGUUGCAGACUUCUUAGGACAUGACGUUCGUGUCCACAGAGAAUAUUACAGGCUUCCAGAGGCUACAACGCAGCUGGCCAAAAUAUCAAAAUUACUUCUUGCCUUGGAGAAAGGGUCCCUGACAAAUCUUCAAGGCAAAUCACUUGAAGAGAUUGACAUUGAAGAUGACAUGAACCUGAGUGAUUCUGAGCAAAGCGAAGACAGUGAGUUUGAUGAACAGCAGCCCCUCAUACAUUCACAUACAAGUGUUGGUAAGUGUGCCUAG